rnacentral:rRNA from 1 species
GGGUUGUGAGGUUAAGCGACUAAGCGUACACGGUGGAUGCCCUGGCAGUCAGAGGCGAUGAAGGACGUGCUAAUCUGCGAUAAGCGUCGGUAAGGUGAUAUGAACCGUUAUAACCGGCGAUUUCCGAAUGGGGAAACCCAGUGUGAUUCGUCACACUAUCAUUAACUGAAUCCAUAGGUUAAUGAGGCGAACCGGGGGAACUGAAACAUCUAAGUACCCCGAGGAAAAGAAAUCAACCGAGAUUCCCCCAGUAGCGGCGAGCGAACGGGGAGGAGCCCAGAGCCUGAAUCAGUGUGUGUGUUAGUGGAAGCGUCUGGAAAGGCGCGCGAUACAGGGUGACAGCCCCGUACACAAAAAUGCACAUGCUGUGAGCUCGAUGAGUAGGGCGGGACACGUGGUAUCCUGUCUGAAUAUGGGGGGACCAUCCUCCAAGGCUAAAUACUCCUGACUGACCGAUAGUGAACCAGUACCGUGAGGGAAAGGCGAAAAGAACCCCGGCGAGGGGAGUGAAAAAGAACCUGAAACCGUGUACGUACAAGCAGUGGGAGCACAGAGCAAUCUGUGUGACUGCGUACCUUUUGUAUAAUGGGUCAGCGACUUAUAUUCUGUAGCAAGGUUAACCGAAUAGGGGAGCCGAAGGGAAACCGAGUCUUAACUGGGCGUUAAGUUGCAGGGUAUAGACCCGAAACCCGGUGAUCUAGCCAUGGGCAGGUUGAAGGUUGGGUAACACUAACUGGAGGACCGAACCGACUAAUGUUGAAAAAUUAGCGGAUGACUUGUGGCUGGGGGUGAAAGGCCAAUCAAACCGGGAGAUAGCUGGUUCUCCCCGAAAGCUAUUUAGGUAGCGCCUCGUGAAUUCAUCUCCGGGGGUAGAGCACUGUUUCGGCAAGGGGGUCAUCCCGACUUACCAACCCGAUGCAAACUGCGAAUACCGGAGAAUGUUAUCACGGGAGACACACGGCGGGUGCUAACGUCCGUCGUGAAGAGGGAAACAACCCAGACCGCCAGCUAAGGUCCCAAAGUCAUGGUUAAGUGGGAAACGAUGUGGGAAGGCCCAGACAGCCAGGAUGUUGGCUUAGAAGCAGCCAUCAUUUAAAGAAAGCGUAAUAGCUCACUGGUCGAGUCGGCCUGCGCGGAAGAUGUAACGGGGCUAAACCAUGCACCGAAGCUGCGGCAGCGACGCUUAUGCGUUGUUGGGUAGGGGAGCGUUCUGUAAGCCUGUGAAGGUGUGCUGUGAGGCAUGCUGGAGGUAUCAGAAGUGCGAAUGCUGACAUAAGUAACGAUAAAGCGGGUGAAAAGCCCGCUCGCCGGAAGACCAAGGGUUCCUGUCCAACGUUAAUCGGGGCAGGGUGAGUCGACCCCUAAGGCGAGGCCGAAAGGCGUAGUCGAUGGGAAACAGGUUAAUAUUCCUGUACUUGGUGUUACUGCGAAGGGGGGACGGAGAAGGCUAUGUUGGCCGGGCGACGGUUGUCCCGGUUUAAGCGUGUAGGCUGGUUUUCCAGGCAAAUCCGGAAAAUCAAGGCUGAGGCGUGAUGACGAGGCACUACGGUGCUGAAGCAACAAAUGCCCUGCUUCCAGGAAAAGCCUCUAAGCAUCAGGUAACAUCAAAUCGUACCCCAAACCGACACAGGUGGUCAGGUAGAGAAUACCAAGGCGCUUGAGAGAACUCGGGUGAAGGAACUAGGCAAAAUGGUGCCGUAACUUCGGGAGAAGGCACGCUGAUAUGUAGGUGAAGCGACUUGCUCGUGGAGCUGAAAUCAGUCGAAGAUACCAGCUGGCUGCAACUGUUUAUUAAAAACACAGCACUGUGCAAACACGAAAGUGGACGUAUACGGUGUGACGCCUGCCCGGUGCCGGAAGGUUAAUUGAUGGGGUCAGCGCAAGCGAAGCUCUUGAUCGAAGCCCCGGUAAACGGCGGCCGUAACUAUAACGGUCCUAAGGUAGCGAAAUUCCUUGUCGGGUAAGUUCCGACCUGCACGAAUGGCGUAAUGAUGGCCAGGCUGUCUCCACCCGAGACUCAGUGAAAUUGAACUCGCUGUGAAGAUGCAGUGUACCCGCGGCAAGACGGAAAGACCCCGUGAACCUUUACUAUAGCUUGACACUGAACAUUGAGCCUUGAUGUGUAGGAUAGGUGGGAGGCUUAGAAGUGUGGACGCCAGUCUGCAUGGAGCCGACCUUGAAAUACCACCCUUUAAUGUUUGAUGUUCUAACGUUGACCCGUGAUCCGGGUUGCGGACAGUGUCUGGUGGGUAGUUUGACUGGGGCGGUCUCCUCCUAAAGAGUAACGGAGGAGCACGAAGGUUGGCUAAUCCUGGUCGGACAUCAGGAGGUUAGUGCAAUGGCAUAAGCCAGCUUGACUGCGAGCGUGACGGCGCGAGCAGGUGCGAAAGCAGGUCAUAGUGAUCCGGUGGUUCUGAAUGGAAGGGCCAUCGCUCAACGGAUAAAAGGUACUCCGGGGAUAACAGGCUGAUACCGCCCAAGAGUUCAUAUCGACGGCGGUGUUUGGCACCUCGAUGUCGGCUCAUCACAUCCUGGGGCUGAAGUAGGUCCCAAGGGUAUGGCUGUUCGCCAUUUAAAGUGGUACGCGAGCUGGGUUUAGAACGUCGUGAGACAGUUCGGUCCCUAUCUGCCGUGGGCGCUGGAGAACUGAGGGGGGCUGCUCCUAGUACGAGAGGACCGGAGUGGACGCAUCACUGGUGUUCGGGUUGUCAUGCCAAUGGCACUGCCCGGUAGCUAAAUGCGGAAGAGAUAAGUGCUGAAAGCAUCUAAGCACGAAACUUGCCCCGAGAUGAGUUCUCCCUGACUCCUUGAGAGUCCUGAAGGAACGUUGAAGACGACGACGUUGAUAGGCCGGGUGUGUAAGCGCAGCGAUGCGUUGAGCUAACCGGUACUAAUGAACCGUGAGGCUUAACCUUACAACGCCGAAG